GGAUCCAGACUUUGAUUCUGGCUCCCGUUGAACGCUGGCGGCGUGCUUAACACAUGCAAGUCGAACGUAGCACUUCAUAAAGUUUACUUUAAGAAGUGACUUAGUGGCGGACGGGUGAGUAACGCGUGGGUAACCUGCCUUACACAGGGGGAUAACAGUUAGAAAUGACUGCUAAUACCGCAUAAAACAGCAGAGUCGCAUGACUCAACUGUCAAAGAUUUAUCGGUGUAAGAUGGACCCGCGUCUGAUUAGCUUGUUGGUGGGGUAACGGCCUACCAAGGCAACGAUCAGUAGCCGGCCUGAGAGGGUGAACGGCCACAUUGGGACUGAGACACGGCCCAAACUCCUACGGGAGGCAGCAGUGGGGAAUAUUGGACAAUGGGCGAAAGCCUGAUCCAGCGACGCCGCGUGAGCGAUGAAGUAUUUCGGUAUGUAAAGCUCUAUCAGCAGGGAAGAAAACGACGGUACCUGACUAAGAAGCCCCGGCUAACUACGUGCCAGCAGCCGCGGUAAUACGUAGGGGGCAAGCGUUAUCCGGAUUUACUGGGUGUAAAGGGAGCGUAGACGGCAUCACAAGUCAGAAGUGAAAAUCCGGGGCUCAACCCCGGAACUGCUUUUGAAACUGCGGAGCUGGAGUGCAGGAGAGGUAAGCGGAAUUCCUAGUGUAGCGGUGAAAUGCGUAGAUAUUAGGAGGAACACCAGUGGCGAAGGCGGCUUACUGGACUGUAACUGACGUUGAGGCUCGAAAGCGUGGGGAGCAAACAGGAUUAGAUACCCUGGUAGUCCACGCUGUAAACGAUGAAUACUAGGUGUUGGGUUUCAUAAGAAGCUCGGUGCCGGCGCAAACGCAUUAAGUAUUCCACCUGGGGAGUACGUUCGCAAGAAUGCAACUCAAAUGAAUUGACGG
rnacentral:rRNA from 1 species